GACGAAGGUGGCGAGCGUUGUUCGGUAUCACUGGGCUUAAAGCGUGUGUAGGCGGAAGCGUAAGCGUUCUGUGAAAUCCCCCGGCUCAACCGGGGAAUGGCUGGACGAACUGCGCUUCUUGAGGCAAGUAGGGGUGCACGGAACUCUUGGUGGAGCGGUGGAAUGCGUAGAUAUCAAGAGGAACGCCGGUGGAGAAGUCGGUGCACUGGGCUUGUCCUGACGCUGAGACACGAAAGCGUGGGGAGCGAACGGGAUUAGAUACCCCCGUA
rnacentral:rRNA from 1 species